rnacentral:rRNA from 1 species
UACGUAGGGGGCAAGCGUUGUCCGGAUUUAUUGGGUUUAAAGGGUGCGUAGGUGGCCUUAUAAGUCAGCGGUGAAAGUCUGCAGCUUAACUGUAGAACUGCCAUUGAUACUGUAAGGCUUGAGUACUGAUGAGGUAGGCGGAAUUGAUAGUGUAGCGGUGAAAUGCAUAGAUAUUAUCAAGAACACCGAUUGCGAAGGCAGCUUACUAAGGAGUUACUGACACUGAGGCACGAAAGCGUGGGGAUCAAACAGG